AACGAACGCUGGCGGCGCGCCUAAUACAUGCAAGUCGAGCGAGAAGACGUAGCAAUACGUUUGUAAAGCGGCGAACGGGUGAGGAAUACAUGGGUAACCUACCCUCGAGUGGGGAAUAACUAGCCGAAAGGUUAGCUAAUACCGCGUACGCUCCUUGGACUUCGGUUCAGGGAGGAAAGCGAUACCGUGGGUAUCGCGCUCUUGGAUGGGCUCAUGUCCUAUCAGCCUGUUGGUGAGGUAACGGCUCACCAAGGCUUCGACGGGUAGCUGGUCUGAGAGGACGAUCAGCCACACUGGCACUGCGACACGGGCCAGACUCCUACGGGAGGCAGCAGUAAGGAAUAUUGCGCAAUGGGCGAAAGCCUGACGCAGCGACGCCGCGUGGGGGAUGGAAGGUCUUC
rnacentral:rRNA from 1 species